rnacentral:rRNA from 2 species
ACGGGAGGCAGCAGUGGGGGAUAUUGCACAAUGGAGGAAACUCUGAUGCAGCAACGCCGCGUGAAGGAAGAAGGCCUUCGGGUUGUAAACUUCUGUCCUUAGUGACGAAUAAAUGACGGUAACUAGGGAGGAAGCCACGGCUAACUACGUGCCAGCAGCCGCGGUAAUACGUAGGUGGCGAGCGUUAUCCGGAAUUACUGGGUGUAAAGGGUGCGUAGGCGGCAUGUAAAGUCAGAUGUGAAAUGCCGGGGCUUAACCCCGGAGCUGCAUUUGAAACUUACAUACUUGAGUGAGGUAGAGGUAAGCGGAAUUCCUAGUGUAGCGGUGAAAUGCGUAGAUAUUAGGAGGAACACCAGUGGCGAAGGCGGCUUACUGGGCCUUAACUGACGCUGAGGCACGAAAGCAUGGGUAGCAAACAGGAUUAGAUACCCUGGUA